ACGCUAGCUACAGGCUUAACACAUGCAAGUCGAGGGGCAUCAGGAAGAAAGCUUGCUUUCUUUGCUGGCGACCGGCGCACGGGUGAGUAACACGUAUCCAACCUGCCCUUUACUCGGGGAUAGCCUUUCGAAAGAAAGAUUAAUACCCGAUGGCAUAAUGAUUCCGCAUGGUUUCAUUAUUAAAGGAUUCCGGUAAAGGAUGGGGAUGCGUUCCAUUAGGUUGUUGGUGAGGUAACGGCUCACCAAGCCUUCGAUGGAUAGGGGUUCUGAGAGGAAGGUCCCCCACAUUGGAACUGAGACACGGUCCAAACUCCUACGGGAGGCAGCAGUGAGGAAUAUUGGUCAAUGGGCGCUAGCCUGAACCAGCCAAGUAGCGUGAAGGAUGAAGGCUCUAUGGGUCGUAAACUUCUUUUAUAUAAGAAUAAAGUGCAGUAUGUAUACUGUUUUGUAUGUAUUAUAUGAAUAAGGAUCGGCUAACUCCGUGCCAGCAGCCGCGGUAAUACGGAGGAUCCGAGCGUUAUCCGGAUUUAUUGGGUUUAAAGGGAGCGUAGGUGGACUGGUAAGUCAGUUGUGAAAGUUUGCGGCUCAACCGUAAAAUUGCAGUUGAUACUGUCAGUCUUGAGUACAGUAGAGGUGGGCGGAAUUCGUGGUGUAGCGGUGAAAUGCUUAGAUAUCACGAAGAACUCCGAUUGCGAAGGCAGCUCACUGGACUGCAACUGACACUGAUGCUCGAAAGUGUGGGUAUCAAACAGGAUUAGAUACCCUGGUAGUCCACACAGUAAACGAUGAAUACUCGCUGUUUGCGAUAUACAGUAAGCGGCCAAGCGAAAGCAUUAAGUAUUCCACCUGGGGAGUACGCCGGCAACGGUGAAACUCAAAGGAAUUGACGGGGGCCCGCACAAGCGGAGGAACAUGUGGUUUAAUUCGAUGAUACGCGAGGAACCUUACCCGGGCUUAAAUUGCAGUGGAAUGAUGUGGAAACAUGUCAGUGAGCAAUCACCGCUGUGAAGGUGCUGCAUGGUUGUCGUCAGCUCGUGCCGUGAGGUGUCGGCUUAAGUGCCAUAACGAGCGCAACCCUUAUCUUUAGUUACUAACAGGUUAUGCUGAGGACUCUAGAGAGACUGCCGUCGUAAGAUGUGAGGAAGGUGGGGAUGACGUCAAAUCAGCACGGCCCUUACGUCCGGGGCUACACACGUGUUACAAUGGGGGGUACAGAAGGCAGCUAGCGGGUGACCGUAUGCUAAUCCCAAAAUCCUCUCUCAGUUCGGAUCGAAGUCUGCAACCCGACUUCGUGAAGCUGGAUUCGCUAGUAAUCGCGCAUCAGCCACGGCGCGGUGAAUACGUUCCCGGGCCUUGUACACACCGCCCGUCAAGCCAUGGGAGCCGGGGGUACCUGAAGUACGUAACCGCAAGGAUCGUCCUAGGGUAAAACUGGUGACUGGGGCUAAGU
rnacentral:rRNA from 1 species